rnacentral:rRNA from 1 species
AAGUCGUAACAAGGUUUCCGUAGGUGAACCUGCGGAAGGAUCAUUGAUGAAAGGAAUCGUAAGAUUCCGAUUAUCCAACUUCACUUGUGCACUGUCAUUUUUUAAAUGCUAUGUAUGAAUGGUAUUAUUUAAUAAUUAAUACAACUUUCAGCAACGGAUCUCUUGGCUCCCAUAUCGAUGAAGAGCGCAGCGAAGUGCGAUAACUAACGUGAAUCGCAGAACUUUGUGAAUCGUCGAGUCUUUGAACGCACCCUGCGCUCUCUGGUAUUCCGGAGAGCACAUCUGUUUGAGUGUCAUUUUAACCCUCAACUCAUUGGUUUUUUUUACGAAGACUGUGAGUUUGAAUAAUGGAUGAUGCAUUUGUUAAUGCUCGUCUGAAAUGAACAAUCAACCUGUUGUGUUGCACUUUUGUUAUAGUUUUUCUCUCAAAAGGGUGAUGUGACGGAGGGUUGACUCUGGAUUUCGGUCCACCUUUGAUUCAAGACCUCAAAUCAGAUGGGAUUACCCGCUGAACUUAA